GCGGGCUUAGCUCAAUUGGCAGAGCGCGACCUUGCCAAGGUCGAGGUUGUGAGUUCGAACCUCAUAGCCCGCUCCA
rnacentral:tRNA from 4 species